AGAGUUUGAUCCUGGCUCAGGAUGAACGCUAGCGACAGGCUUAACACAUGCAAGUCGAGGGGCAGCGAGGGCGUAGCAAUACGCCUGUCGGCGACCGGCGCACUGGUGAGUAACACGUAUGCGACCUGCCCCCUACAGGGGUAUAACCCGUAGAAAUGCGGACUAAUCCCCCAUAGUCCUGGGUGCUGCAUGGCAUUCAGGGGAAAGGCCAGCCGGUAGGGGAUGGGCAUGCGGCGCAUUAGCUAGUUGGCGGGGCAACGGCCCACCAAGGCGACGAUGCGUAGGGGUUCUGAGAGGAAGGUCCCCCACACUGGUACUGAGACACGGACCAGACUCCUACGGGAGGCAGCAGUGAGGAAUAUUGGUCAAUGGGCGCAGGCCUGAACCAGCCAAGUCGCGUGAGGGAAGACGGUCCUACGGAUUGUAAACCUCUUUUGUCGGGGAGUAACGUGCGGGACGCGUCCCGUAUUGAGAGUACCCGAAGAAAAAGCAUCGGCUAACUCCGUGCCAGCAGCCGCGGUAAUACGGAGGAUGCGAGCGUUAUCCGGAUUUAUUGGGUUUAAAGGGUGCGCAGGCGGCGCGCCAAGUCAGCGGUCAAAGUUCCGGGCUCAACCCGGUGUCGCCGUUGAAACUGGCGUGCUCGAGUGCGUGCGAGGAAGGCGGAAUGCGUUGUGUAGCGGUGAAAUGCAUAGAUAUGACGCAGAACUCCGAUUGCGAAGGCAGCUUUCCAGCGCGCUACUGACGCUGAGGCACGAAAGCGUGGGGAUCGAACAGGAUUAGAUACCCUGGUAGUCCACGCAGUAAACGAUGACUACUAGCUUUCCGGGAUGAUUGAGUCCUGGGAGGCACAGCGAAAGCGUUAAGUAGUCCACCUGGGGAGUACGCCGGCAACGGUGAAACUCAAAGGAAUUGACGGGGGCCCG
rnacentral:rRNA from 1 species